GAUGAAGAACGUAGCGAAAUGCGAUACUUGGUGUGAAUUGCAGAAUCCCGUGAACCAUCGAGUCUUUGAACGCAAGUUGCGCCCGAAGCCAUCAGGUUGAGGGUACGUCUGCCUGGGCGUCACAUAUCGUUGCCCAAUGCCUAUUGCAGUGCAAUAGGAAUUUCUAGGGCGAAUGAUGGCUUCCCGUGAGCGUUGUUGCCUCGCGGUUGGUUGAAAAUCGAGUCCUUGGUAGGGUGUGCCAUGGUAGAUGGUGGUCGAGUUAGAACGAUACCGAUCAUGUGCAUGCUCCCCAAAAUAUGGCCUCUAUGACCCACACGCGUCUUUUGACGCUCAUGACGAGACCUCAGGUCAGGCGGGGCUACCCGCUGAAUUUAAGCAUAUCAAUAAGCGGAGGA
rnacentral:misc_RNA from 1 species